AACGAACGCUGGCGGCAUGCCUAACACAUGCAAGUCGAACGAGACCUUCGGGUCUAGUGGCGCACGGGUGCGUAACGCGUGGGAACCUGCCCUUAGGUUCGGAAUAACUCCCCGAAAGGGGUGCUAAUACCGGAUAAUGUCUUCGGACCAAAGAUUUAUCGCCUUUGGAUGGGCCCGCGUUGGAUUAGCUAGUUGGUAGGGUAAAAGCCUACCAAGGCGACGAUCCAUAGCUGGUCUGAGAGGAUGAUCAGCCACACUGGGACUGAGACACGGCCCAGACCCCCCCGGGGGGGCGCAGUGGGGAAUAUUUGACAAUGGGCGAAAGCCUGAUCCAGCAAUGCCGCGUGAGUGAUGAAGGCCUUAGGGUUGUAAAGCUCUUUUACCCGGGAUGAUAAUGACAGUACCGGGAGAAUAAGCUCCGGCUAACUCCGU
rnacentral:rRNA from 1 species